GAGAAUUUAUUAUUCAUUAUGAAAAAUAAAAGAAAAUAUUUAGUCAUUAUAAAUCCUAAAAAAAGUCUUGCGAAGUGUCAUCUUUUAUAAUAAUAAUAAUAAUACUAAUAAAAAGGUAAAUAAAUAAAAUAAAAUAGAAUAAAAUAUGACUUAUAUCCAAAAUUAGCAAAGUCGAUCUUCCGAAUCCAGCUGUAAUGAAUAGCCUAUCGCAAAAUUAAUUAUUUUUUAUUAAUCCAACGUUACUAAUUAGUUAAAACUAAAUUUGAUUCUAAAGAUAAAGCCAUUAUUCGAUAUUAAAGUGUUAAAGAGUUCUAGCAACUCAACCAACUAUUCUAAGAAGUAUGUUUUACCUACCGAAUUUUAACCCUUAUCGAUAUGAAUUUUAUACUGGAACCUAGUGAUUAUGCUAAGCAUAGAAUCUUAAAAAAAGGAUUUUCUAUAAUAUUUAAAGGUUAAUUCAGACAAGAACAUACAAAACACCAAUUUCAGAUGACAACGUGCGGAAUAUUAAGUAAAAAUAAUAAUAAGUGUCUACAAAAGAAGAAUAGAGCUUAAAAAAAGAGAAUGAGGAACUAGACUGCUAGACGGAGAUACGUAAUGCAUUUGUUAUCGCUUCUAUUAUUUGGACAGAGAUGGAGUCAAGCCAUGGAAUUCCAAAUGCGCUCCCGAGUUCACAUGACACAAGAAAAGAUAAGAAUUAGCAUAUACUCAAUCUUAUGAGAGAUGCAAAGUGAAUUAGGCGAAAAACACAUUAAUGUUUGCAGUCAAGUAGAAAAUCAAAUAAGGGGAAUAGUAACUACACUGAUUCGAAAAAUAUUAAGCAUAGGUCAAGUAUUACUCAAAAAAUGCUCCGGGCAAGUUGGUUAUAAUCUAACGUAACAGUCAUGCGGAGUUUUCAUUUGGUGUUAAUGCUAGAGAAAAGCUAUAUAACAUUCUAUACGUUAGUAAAAAAAGACCAUAGAAUUAGAGUUCUAGCUACCAAAUUGACAAGUAGAGUAUCAUGUGAGCGAGAGCUAAACCAAGCAAACCAAAACACUAUUUCUGUGUGUGGAAAAACUGCCAGCAAAGUUGAUCAAAGGGGAGAAGAAGGAUUUUGCACGUAUAACUCAAAAUUAUUUUCACUAGAACUCCAUCUUGAAGAUUACGAACACUAAUUCCUAAUUAGUCCUACGGUGAAUUAGGACACCUAUUUUAAACUAUGUGAUUAAAGCAAUUAAAGACUUUAUUUUAAGGUUAAGUAGGAAGGGGUUAGGCACCCUAAAGGAUCCGCUAACUACGAUUAACUGCUAAAGGGAAGGGGUUAGACACCCUAAAGGAUCCGCUAACUACGAUUAACUGGCCAAACUUAGAUUAGAUAAGAAAACCAAAAAAAUUAUAUCAAGAAAAAGAAAUGUAUAAAUGAGGCAUUACAAAAAUAUAAUUGAAACAUGCUAAUUAUUUAUAAGAAAGGAAAUUUUAUAACAUCCCCACCAUGAAUUUUACUUAGCAAAAUUACCGACAUAACUUUUAUAAAGUCUCUUACCAAUGAUGCAAUGGUUUCACAAAAGCUUUAAUUAAUAAUAAAAAUAAAUAAAUAAAAAAUUAUCUAAAAGAUGGUCCUUUUUGUUUUUUAAUCAAAUUUUAUAAAAUAAGUCACUUACCCUACCCUACAAGAAUAGAUAAAAUAUAUAGUUAUUUAAAUAUAUAUUGGCUUGAGAAUUUAUUAUUCAUUAUGAAAAAUAAAAGAAAAUAUUUAGUCAUUAUAAAUCCUAAAAAAAGUCUUGCGAAGUGUCAUCUUUUAUAAUAAUAAUAAUAAUACUAAUAAAAAGGUAAAUAAAUAAAAUAAAAUAGAAUAAAAUAUGACUUAUAUCCAAAAUUAGCAAAGUCGAUCUUCCGAAUCCAGCUGUAAUGAAUAGCCUAUCGCAAAAUUAAUUAUUUUUUAUUAAUCCAACGUUACUAAUUAGUUAAAACUAAAUUUGAUUCUAAAGAUAAAGCCAUUAUUCGAUAUUAAAGUGUUAAAGAGUUCUAGCAACUCAACCAACUAUUCUAAGAAGUAUGUUUUACCUACCGAAUUUUAACCCUUAUCGAUAUGAAUUUUAUACUGGAACCUAGUGAUUAUGCUAAGCAUAGAAUCUUAAAAAAAGGAUUUUCUAUAAUAUUUAAAGGUUAAUUCAGACAAGAACAUACAAAACACCAAUUUCAGAUGACAACGUGCGGAAUAUUAAGUAAAAAUAAUAAUAAGUGUCUACAAAAGAAGAAUAGAGCUUAAAAAAAGAGAAUGAGGAACUAGACUGCUAGACGGAGAUACGUAAUGCAUUUGUUAUCGCUUCUAUUAUUUGGACAGAGAUGGAGUCAAGCCAUGGAAUUCCAAAUGCGCUCCCGAGUUCACAUGACACAAGAAAAGAUAAGAAUUAGCAUAUACUCAAUCUUAUGAGAGAUGCAAAGUGAAUUAGGCGAAAAACACAUUAAUGUUUGCAGUCAAGUAGAAAAUCAAAUAAGGGGAAUAGUAACUACACUGAUUCGAAAAAUAUUAAGCAUAGGUCAAGUAUUACUCAAAAAAUGCUCCGGGCAAGUUGGUUAUAAUCUAACGUAACAGUCAUGCGGAGUUUUCAUUUGGUGUUAAUGCUAGAGAAAAGCUAUAUAACAUUCUAUACGUUAGUAAAAAAAGACCAUAGAAUUAGAGUUCUAGCUACCAAAUUGACAAG
rnacentral:lncRNA from 1 species